rnacentral:rRNA from 1 species
AGAGUUUGAUCCUGGCUCAGGACGAACGCUGGCGGCACGCUUAACACAUGCAAGUCGAACGGAGAACAUUGAGCUUGCUUAAUGUUCUUAGUGGCGGACGGGUGAGUAACACGUGAGUAACCUGCCUCUGAGAGUGGGAUAGCUUCUGGAAACGGAUGGUAAUACCGCAUAACAUCAUGGAUUCGCAUGUUUCUAUGAUCAAAGAUUUAUCGCUUAGAGAUGGACUCGCGUCUGAUUAGCUAGUUGGUAAGGUAACGGCUUACCAAGGCGACGAUCAGUAGCCGGACUGAGAGGUUGAUCGGCCACAUUGGGACUGAGACACGGCCCAGACUCCUACGGGAGGCAGCAGUGAGGGAUAUUGGUCAAUGGGGGAAACCCUGAACCAGCAACGCCGCGUGAGGGAUGACGGCCUUCGGGUUGUAAACCUCUGUCCUCUGUGAAGAUAAUGACGGUAGCAGAGGAGGAAGCUCCGGCUAACUACGUGCCAGCAGCCGCGGUAAUACGUAGGGAGCAAGCGUUGUCCGGAUUUACUGGGUGUAAAGGGUGCGUAGGCGGUUUGGUAAGUCAGAAGUGAAAUCCAUGGGCUUAACCCAUGAACUGCUUUUGAAACUAUCGAACUUGAGUGAAGUAGAGGUAGGCGGAAUUCCCGGUGUAGCGGUGAAAUGCGUAGAGAUCGGGAGGAACACCAGUGGCGAAGGCGGCCUACUGGGCUUUAACUGACGCUGAGGCACGAAAGCAUGGGUAGCAAACAGGAUUAGAUACCCUGGUAGUCCAUGCCGUAAACGAUGAUUACUAGGUGUGGGGGGUCUGACCCCCUCCGUGCCGGAGUUAACACAAUAAGUAAUCCACCUGGGGAGUACGACCGCAAGGUUGAAACUCAA